rnacentral:rRNA from 1 species
AUUGAACGCUGGCGGCAUGCCUUACACAUGCAAGUCGAACGGUAACAGGUCUUCGUAUGCUGACGAGUGGCGAACGGGUGAGUAAUACAUCGGAACGUGCCUAGUAGUGGGGGAUAACUACUCGAAAGAGUGGCUAAUACCGCAUGAGAUCUACGGAUGAAAGCAGGGGAUCGCAAGACCUUGUGCUACUAGAGCGGCCGAUGGCAGAUUAGGUAGUUGGUGGGAUAAAAGCUUACCAAGCCGACGAUCUGUAGCUGGUCUGAGAGGACGAUCAGCCACACUGGGACUGAGACACGGCCCAGACUCCGACGGGAGGCAGCAGUGGGGAAUUUUGGACAAUGGGCGCAAGCCUGAUCCAGCAAUGCCGCGUGCAGGAUGAAGGCCUUCGGGUUGUAAACUGCUUUUGUACGGAACGAAAAGCCCUGGGUUAAUACCCUGGGGUCAUGACGGUACCGUAAGAAUAAGCACCGGCUAACUACGUGCCAGCAGCCGCCGUAAGAC